CACAGCGGACUGAAAGACUCUGAUAAACACACAAAAGGACGGAGCCAAAGUGAUGGAUGAACCAAGCCUACAUGAAUCUGUUCACACUGCGACACUUUGGCUGGUGCUCAGCGGACUAAAAGUCUCUCAGUGGACCAACACUGUCAAUACAUUUAUGAAGAAUGUUUAUCAUGCCGCAUACCGAACACUUACGAUUAUAUCUAGCCGGUGUUGCUUCAUGUAUGAAUCUACAGCUCUGAUAAGACCACCUGUUGAAAACCUCACAGGGAAACAUAGCGGGGACCUGUGACCCUGAGUUAUUUUCUAAAAGAAUUUCUUUAUGUAAUGCAAAUGGACAAAAAAUGAUGAUCUCACAAUCAACGUGGAAGUGUUGAGCUUCCCGACACCCAUGCGCCCUGGUGACAUCAUACCAGGGGAAAAUGGCCCCCACUGUCAUGUGGAAGGCCAAUAGUCGGAAUCUUUUUAAAUCUGGAAAUCAUCGCCGUUUCAAGUCAUGUGGACGCCAUCUGUUGUCUGAGACCUCUGACAAAUACCAGAUGAUUCUCAUCAUGCUACACCGAAGAGAUCAUUUACUAGUAUAUAAAGUCUCAAAGUGACCAUAUUCUGAAAACAAAUCCUUUUUUUCUGGGAUUUGGGGUGUUACUUUGUGUCUCUGGUGCUUCCACACGCAGACAAACUUGGGGAAAAGCCCAUCCGUGCUGUUUUGAGGGAGAUCCGGUUUCUGAGCGUCCUCUGUCUUCAGCUGUUUCCUACGUCACUAGCCGAGACGCAGUGGCUAACCGGAGCAUGUUUUAUGAGAACCUCACAUAUUCUGACUUCUCUAUCUCAAACUAAAGAUCAAAUGUGUCCUCUUUCAAAUCCAUAUUUGCUGAAAAACCACACAACAUAUUUCCAUUGGCGCUCCUCCAAUCAACUGAUCAGUCUGAAUAUGACUCAUAACUUCUAUGUAUUUAUGCUAUCGUCCCCUUGUUUUCAGCUACGUGUAGAGGCAAAUAUGUACUGGAAGGUCUUAGCUUUGUGAACAAGUCAAGACUAAUUUGACAUUGAAGAUCAAAUGUAAUGCGAGGACUGGCCCUGGUGUUUUAUAUUGCAUUUUAUACUACUUAUUUGUUUAGAUAAACCUGUAAUAAAUAUUAUUUUAUAGCA